GGAUUGCAGAUAUCGGUCCGCCUCGAACGAGGUGCGUACCAGUUAUCCGUAUCCAUCCUCGGGGAAAACGUAUCUGGCAUUCACUUGUUGGGUAUGGUGUCCUCGUCAUUUACUGUGAGCAAAAUAGAGUGUUCAAAGCAGGCUUAUGCCGUUGAAUACAUUAGCAUGGAAUAAUAAGAUAGGACCUUGGUCUAUUUUGUUGGUUUGUACUCCAAGGUA
rnacentral:rRNA from 1 species